ACUACGGGGGGCUGCAGUGGGGAAUAUUGGGCAAUGGGCGCAAGCCUGACCCAGCAACGCCGCGUGAAGGAAGAAGGCUUUCGGGUUGUAAACUUCUUUUCUCAGGGACGAAGCAAGUGACGGUACCUGAGGAAUAAGCCACGGCUAACUACGUGCCAGCAGCCGCGGUAAUACGUAGGUGGCAAGCGUUAUCCGGAUUUACUGGGUGUAAAGGGCGUGUAGGCGGGAAAGCAAGUCAGAUGUGAAAACCAUGGGCUCAACCUGUGGCCUGCAUUUGAAACUGUUUUUCUUGAGUACUGGAGAGGCAGACGGAAUUCCGAGUGUAGCGGUGAAAUGCGUAGAUAUUAGGAGGAACACCAGUGGCGAAGGCGGUCUGCUGGACAGCAACUGACGCUGAGGCGCGAAAGCGUGGGGAGCAAACAGGAUUAGAUACCCUGGUAGUC
rnacentral:rRNA from 1 species